rnacentral:rRNA from 1 species
AUUGAACGCUGGCGGCAGGCCUAACACAUGCAAGUCGAGCGGAUGACGGGAGCUUGCUCCUUGAUUCAGCGGCGGACGGGUGAGUAAUACCUAGGAAUCUGCCUGAUAGUGGGGGACAACGUUUCGAAAGGAACGCUAAUACCGCAUACGUCCUACGGGAGAAAGCAGGGGACCUUCGGGCCUUGCGCUAUCAGAUGAGCCUAGGUCGGAUUAGCUAGUUGGUGAGGUAAUGGCUCACCAAGGCGACGAUCCGUAAAUGGUUUGAGAGGAUGAUCAGUCACACUGGAACUGAGACACGGUCCAGACUCCUACGGGAGGCAGCAGUGGGGAAUAUUGGACAAUGGGCGAAAGCCUGAUCCAGCCAUGCCGCGUGUGUGAAGAAGGUCUUCGGAUUGUAAAGCACUUUAAGUUGGGAGGAAGGGUUGUAGAUUAAUACUCUGCAAUUUUGACGUUACCGACAGAAUAAGCACCGGCUAACUCUGUGCCAGCCGCCGCUGUAAAAC